GAUGAACGCUGGCGGCGUGCCUAAUACAUGCAAGUCGAGCGAACAGAUGAGAAGCUUGCUUCUCUGAUGUUAGCGGCGGACGGGUGAGUAACACGUGGGUAACCUACCUAUAGGACUGGGAUAACUCCGGGAAACCGGGGCUAAUACCGGAUAAUAUUUUGAACCACAUGGUUCAAUAGUGAAAGACGGUUUCGGCUGUCACUUAUAGAUGGACCCGCGCCGUAUUAGCUAGUUGGUAAGGUAACGGCUUACCAAGGCGACGAUACGUAGCCGACCUGAGAGGGUGAUCGGCCACACUGGAACUGAGACACGGUCCAGACUCCUACGGGAGGCAGCAGUAGGGAAUCUUCCGCAAUGGGCGAAAGCCUGACGGAGCAACGCCGCGUGAGUGAUGAAGGUCUUCGGAUCGUAAAACUCUGUUGUUAGGGAAGAACAAAUUUGUUAGUAACUGAACAAGUCUUGACGGUACCUAACCAGAAAGCCACGGCUAACUACGUGCCAGCCGCCGCGGUAA
rnacentral:rRNA from 1 species